UACGUAGGCGGUUUGUUGCGUCGGCCGUGAAAACCUGCGGCGUAACUGUGGGCUUGCGGUCGAUACGGGCAGACUUGAGUUCGGUAGGGGAGACUGGAAUUCCUGGUGUAGCGGUGAAAUGCGCAGAUAUCAGGAGGAACACCGGUGGCGAAGGCGGGUCUCUGGGCCGAUACUGACGCUGAGGAGCGAAAGCGUGGGGAGCGAACAGG
rnacentral:rRNA from 1 species